rnacentral:rRNA from 1 species
AACGAACGCUGGCGGCAUGCCUAACACAUGCAAGUCGAACGAGAUCUUCGGGUCUAUUGGCGCACGGGUGCGUAACGCGUGGGAACCUGCCCUUAGGUUCGGAAUAACUCCCCGAAAGGGGUGCUAAUACCGGAUAAUGUCUUCGGACCAAAGAUUUAUCGCCUUUGGAUGGGCCCGCGUUGGAUUAGCUAGUUGGUAGGGUAAAAGCCUACCAAGGCGACGAUCCAUAGCUGGUCUGAGAGGAUGAUCAGCCACACUGGGACUGAGACACGGCCCAGACUCCUACGGGAGGCAGCAGUGGGGAAUAUUGGACAAUGGGCGAAAGCCUGAUCCAGCAAUGCCGCGUGAGUGAUGAAGGCCUUAGGGUUGUAAAGCUCUUUUACCCGGGAUGAUAAUGACAGUACCGGGAGAAUAAGCUCCGGCUAACUCCGUG